UACGAAGGGGGCUAGCGUUGUUCGGAAUUACUGGGCGUAAAGGGCGCGUAGGCGGUUGUUCAAGUCAGGCGUGAAAGCCCCGGGCUUAACCUGGGAAUUGCGCUUGAGACUGAGCGACUAGAGUUCGGGAGAGGCGGGUGGAAUUCCCAGUGUAGAGGUGAAAUUCGUAGAUAUUGGGAAGAACACCAGUGGCGAAGGCGUCCCGCUGGACCGACACUGACGCUGAGGCGCGACAGCGUGGGGAGCAAACAGG
rnacentral:rRNA from 1 species